AUGUGGAUGUCGCUAAAUGAAUCCCGCCCAGACGGCCGAUCGGCCUUAAACAGAAACAGACCGGCCCGGUCUGUUCUGGAUGCCAUUAGGGGCUCAGAGUGGGCAGAGUCUGAGGUCACCCAGCACCAUAUGGAGGUGGAAGAGCAUGAAGAACGUUGGACUGGUGACUGCUAUCACGUUGUGAAUUUCUCCAGAGCUUUAAUUCUUUCCAAGAACUCUCAUUUUAAUCCUCACGGGCUCAACCCCGUUGUCUUUUCACCCCCAUCUAGACUGAUCCCGGAGACCGCGGCCCAGAAUUCUUCCCGUUCUUCUCGGCUCCGCCGUCCCGUGUUCGAAGAGACGAUCUUUCCCGUCCCAGAGGUUAAUGGGGUGCGUCAAUCUGAGCCUCGCCACGGAGCACCGCGAACCCAAAAAUAAAUCUGACAAGACGGAUGCGGGCCCCCAUCCCUCCCCGUCUCCGAACCACUCGGGCCCUCUGGCUUCUCUCCCGAAACUCCAGAAUUGAUGGUGUCGGGAUCUGCAGACUGAGGGAGCCGGGUUUCCAGCUCUGAUCUGAUUCAGCAGAAACGGCUUCGUGGCCCAGGGCCACGAGCCCUCGGCCCUCCUUCCACCGCUUGCCUCCCGGGACCCCCCCGCGCCUGAUGCGGUCAAAAGAAAGUUAAUAAUAAUUAAUAACGGUGGUAUUUCUCAAGCGCUUAUUAUGUGGCGGGCAACGAACUAAACGCUGGGGCGGAUAACAAGAUAAUCGGGUUGGACACGGUCCCUGUCCCACAUGGAGCUGACGGUCUUAAUCCCCAUUUUGCAGGUGAGGUCACCGAGGCACAGAAAAUAACAAUAAUAGCCGGGGCAUUUGUUAAGCGCUUACCACGGGCCGAGCACUACACCGAGUGCUGUGGUGGAUGCAAGCAAAUGUGGUCGGACACGGUCCCCCGUCCCACAUGGGGCUCAGAACCAGCGUGGCCCAGUGGAAAGAGCCCGGGCUUGGGAGCCUGAGGUCACGGGUUCGAAUCCUGGCUCCGCCACUCGUCAGCUGCGAGACUUUGGGCGAGUCACUUCACUUCUCUGGGCCUCAGUGACCUCAUCUGGAAAACGGGGGUUAAGACUGUGAGCCCCAUGUGGGACAAACUGAUUGCCUUGUCACCUCUUUCCCCCCCCCAGUGCUCUGCACAUAGUAAGUGCUUAACAAAUGCCAUUAUUAUUAUUAGCAUUAUUUCCCAUCUAGCACUGUGGAUGCUAAAUAAGGAAUGGUAAUUACGGUAAGGGCUUAAGGGCUAACUAUGGGCCGGGCGCUGCGCUGAGCGCCGGGGCGGACGCAGGCACAUCGGGUUGGACACAGUCCCCGUCCCACGUGGGGCUCCCGGUCUCGAUCCCCGUUUUACGGAUGAGGGAACUGAGGCUCAGAGAAGGGAAGUGACAGGCCCCAGGCCUCGCAGCAGACGAGGGGCGGAACGGGGAUUAGAACCCACGACCUUCUGACUCCCAGUUCCGUGCUCUACCGGCUAGGGCAGCGUGGCUCAGUGGACCGAGCCCGGGCUUGGGAGUCAGAGGUCAUGGGUUCGAAUCCCGGCUCCGCCACCCGUCAGCUGUGUGACUGUGGGCGAGUCACUUCACUUCCCUGUGCCUCGGCGACCUCAUUUGUAAAAUGGGGAUUAACUGUGAGCCUCACCUAGGUCAAGCCGAUGACCCUGCAUCUCCCCCGGCGCUCAGAACGGCGCUCUGCACCUAGUAAGCGCUUGACAAAUACCAAUAUUAUUAAUAAGUACUACUGAUUUAGUAGCGGGGGUCAGAGGGCUGAGUUUAGCCGAAUGGGGAGGGCGUCAGAGGGCCGGCCGGGAAGCUCCACCCUGCGGGAUCGGGAUCGGGGGACGAUUCUGCCCCGAUCGAUCCUCCCCGCUCUCCGGAGUUGGAACGAGCUCAGCGGUAUUGGCUCAAACGGCCCCCGGAGCUGGAUUCUCUGAGCCCUGGAGACAUAACAGAGGUCUUUAAGAUGAGCUACGUUGCCUUCAGAGGACUUGCCAGAUCAUACUCUCCUCUGGAAGGAGACGAGUGAAUUAAAGCUGUCUGUCUCUCAGUCUCCCCCCGGGACCACAGAAGAUGCCCCUCCGCGGCUCGGUGAAAAGAAUACGGCAUUUUCAGUCCGGAGGCCGGGGCUUUUCCUGUGGCAUUCGUCGAGCGCUUACUCCGUGUCGAGCCCUGCCGAAGAUACACGUUAAUCGGGCCAAAUACAGUCCCUGUCCCACGUGGGGCUCGCGAUCUAAGUAGGGGGGGAUCGAAUCCCCGUUUGGCAGUUGAGGAAACUGAGGCGCGGAGACUCAGUUGACUCGCUCGAGGUCCCACAGCAGGCAAGUGACGGAGACGGGAUUAGAACUCGGGUCUACCGGCUCUUAGGUUCAUACGUUACCCACUGGGCCACGCUGGUUCUAAUCCCAGCGAAGCCCCUCGUCUGCCGAGCGACUUGGGGCAAGUCGCUUAUUUUCUCCGUGGUUCGGUUUCCUCCUCCGUAAGGCGGGGAUAAAAUAUGUCUCUCGAUCAAUCAGCUGAAGCUGGGACAGAGAAAAUGGGCAGGCUGGGUUGGGGGGAGGGGGGGGUGUGCCUUUCUGGUCAAGGGGAAGGGGGGGGUCUCUCCUAAGAACGGGGAUGGAGGUCCCGAAGCAGUGACCGCCGCCCCCCCCCCCGCCAUGGUGGAAGCGUUUUUUUCUUUAAUGGCAUUGGUUAAGCGCUUACUAUGCGCCAGGCACUGUACUAAGCGCUGGGGUAGAUACAGAUCUGUCAGGUUGGACACCGUCCACGUCCCACAGGGAGAUCACAGUCUUCAUCCCCACUGUACGGUUGGGAGGACCAAGGUCACGCCACAGACGAGUGGCGGAGCUGGGAUUAGAACUCGGGUCCCUCUAGAGUCCCGGCCCCAGUUUUGGAGGAAACAAAGAUCUGCAUUUAAAUGCUUGAGAUGGUGGAACCUGCUAAGCACUUACUGUGUGCAAAGCAGUGUGUUCUAAGCGCUGGGGGGGAUCAGGUCGUCCCACAGUUUUAAUCCCCAUUUUCCAGAUGAGGGAACCGAGGCCCAGAGAAGCGAAGUGACUCGCCCAAAGUCACACAGCUGACGAGUGGUGGAGUCGGGAUUAGAACCCACGACCUCUGACUCCCAAACCCGGGCUCUUUCCACUAAGCCAAGUGCUUCGGGGAGCGGUCCCGGCACCAAGGGCUCCGAGGAGCAAAAGCGCUCAGCUGACAGGUUUGAGAUUCGAUGAACGCUUACUGGGUGUCAAGCACUGUUCUAAGCGCUGGGGCGGGCCCGGGAUAAUCAGGUCGGACACAGUCCCCGUCCCACCCGGGGCUCCCAGUCUUCAUCCCCAUUUUCCACACGAGGUAAAUGAGGCCCAGAGAAGUGAACAACUUGCCUCAGAUACCAGUGGCGGAGGCGGGAUCAGAACCCAGGCCCUUCUGGCUCUAUCCACGAGGCCGUGAUAAAUCUCACCGGGUUUAAACGUGCACGUCCACCGAGUCCCAGAUCCGUUUCCGGACCCCGAGUUUUUCUUUCCCGUGGUCCCGAGGCGGAACGCCGGGGAAGGGGAUCCUUCGGAGACAGACGGUGGAACGAUACUCCGGGUUCUCUGAUCCGUACGGCGUGGGUUUUUAGGCCGCCACGAGGGAGAGGGAGCCGGCCCUCCCGAGACUCUCUGUCGGUCGUCCAAAUCCCGGCAAAUGCAAGUUAAGCAAUUUUUCUACCUUAUCUCUGCAGUACCACGCCGGUCAUUUCGAGAAAAGCCACUCUACAAACAGUGAGUAAAUCGCACACUGUAAAAAUAAAUUAUAGCGUCUCGGGAAUUAGCACAUGAGAAAAGGCCAGGCGUGCCAUCCCCGGGCCCUUCUAAACCCGGGAUUCUGUCCCCGGUGAUUGGAAUGGGACCCGUAAGCCCAUCACUGGGCGGGGAUCGUCUCCGUCUGUUGUUGAAGUGUCCAUUCCAAGCGCUUAGUACAGUGCUCUGCACAUAGCAAGCGCUCGAUGAAUACUAUUGAGCGAAUGAAUACGUGGAGGAGUUUUGAAGAAUAAUAAUGAUGACGCUGGUAUCUUUUCAGCGCUGGGGUAGAUACCGGAUAAUCAGGUUGUCCCACGGGAGGCUCACAGUGAAUCCCCAUCUUACAGAUGAGGUCACUGAGGCACAGAGAAGUGAAGCGACUCGCCCGCGGUCACACGGCUGACAGGUGGCUCCGCCGGGAUUCGAACCCACGACCCGUGACUCCCAAGCCCAGGCUCUUUCCACCGAGCCACGCCGCCGGUGGGUCUCUGAACAACCAAACCCGUGGACGGAAGUGGCCCUCCGCAGCACCCCUUACCCGCGAACCCUGUCGAUGGAUCGACGUAAGCUCGUCGCCCGGCUUCUCUGGGCCUCGGUUUGCUCAUCUGUAAAAUGGGGAUCGGGUCUGUGAUUAGAGGCAACCCGAUCAGCUCGCCUCUACCCCGGCGCUUAGAACAGUCCCUGAAA
rnacentral:lncRNA from 1 species